rnacentral:rRNA from 1 species
UACGAAGGGUGCAAGCGUUACUCGGAAUUAUUGGGCGUAAAGGGUGCGUAGGCGGUUUGGUAAGUCUGAUGUGAAAUCUAUGGGCUCAACUCAUAGUCUGCAUCGGAAACUGCCGGGCUUGAGUAUGGGAGAGGUGAGUGGAAUUCCUGGUGUAGCGGUGAAAUGCGUAGAUAUCAGGAGGAACACCUGUGGCGAAAGCGGCUCACUGGACCAUAACUGACGCUGAUGCACGAAAGCUAGGGGAGCAAACAGG